UCUCCCGUCAUCUAACGGCAAGAUGCUUGACUGUUAAUCAAGUCAUGGCGGUUCGAAUCCGCCCGGGAGAG
rnacentral:tRNA from 1 species